rnacentral:rRNA from 1 species
AUGGCGAUGUCAACGGCGACCCGGAUGAUGCGCCUUCACGCGCGCCGCUCCUCCGCCUUCUGCCUCCUCCGCUCCAGCCGCCCGGACCCGCCGCAGCUGCAGGGCCUAGGGUCCAGCUGCCGCUGGUACAGGGGAGCCACCGCGGCGGUCGGCCCGCUGUCGACCCCUGUGAACCUGGGCGUGAGCAUCGUGCCGGAGAGGAAGGUGUUCGUGGUGGAGCGCUUAGGCAUGUACCACAAGUCUCUCUCCUCGGGGAUUCACUUCCUCGUGCCCGGCAUCGACCGCAUCGCCUACGUCCACUCGCUCGAGGAGGAGGCCAUCCAAAUCCCGGACAACCCUGCCAUCACAAAGGAUGGCACCUUGAUCCAGAUCGGAGGAGUGCUCCAUGUCAAGAUUGCCGAUCCCUUCCUUGCUUCCUACGCCAUAGAGAACCCCAUCUAUGCAGUCACCCAUCUCGCGGAGUUUGUUGCAGGCAGUGAAAUUUGCAAGAUUACCCUUGACAAGACUUUUAAGGAAAGAGACACGCUCAACCACAACAUCAUGAAGUCAAUCAAUUACGCAUCAUGCGAGUGGGGUGUCAAAUGCCUCAAAUACAACAUACGCAUUACUCCAACAGAGGGAGCUAAGAAAGCCAUGGAGAUGCAGCUUGAAGCAGAAUCUAUGAUGGAAAGGGUGAAGAAAGCAAAGGGUGAAGGUGAAGCGAUUCUUGCCAGGUUUGAAGCGACAGUUAGAGGGAUAGUAAUGGAUCCAGAGUCAUUUAAAACUGAAGGCAGCACAGAGGCUGCCCGCUUGAAGGUCGCUGAAGAAUACAUGGAAGUAUUUUCAAAACUAGCUAAAAAUAUGAAGACGAUGCUUCUUCCGAGAGUCCCAGGCAAUUGGGGGGCAAUAAUUGCUCAGUCCCAGCCUGCAGUUUUGCCAGAAGACCUCGAUGAUCUGUCUCGUAAGAUGCCAUCCAUCAGUGACAUGGGCGGCGUCCUGUCAGAUGACAAGGAUCCACUGCCACACCCCAAGCAAAAGUAG